UGUGAAGGUAAAAAGUCGUAACAAGGUUUCCGUAGGUGAACCUGCGGAAGGAUCAUUGUCGAUGCCUUACAUGCAGACCAACACGUGAAUCAGUUUGAACACAUAGGGUUGGUUUGAGGUGUUCAACACCUCGGCUUGCCUCUGGUUCGGAGGAGGACGAUGUUGUGCGUUCUCCUUUGUGCCAAAACACAAACCCCGGCGCUGAAUGCGUCAAGGAAUUUAAAAUUUGCUCUGAGCGCACCUGCAUGGCACCGGAGACGGUUUUCGUGCGGGUUGUGUUCUGACACAUAAUAUAGAAUGACUCUCGGCAACGGAUAUCUAGGCUCUUGCAUCGAUGAAGAACGUAGCGAAAUGCGAUACUUGGUGUGAAUUGCAGAAUCCCGUGAACCAUCGAGUCUUUGAACGCAAGUUGCGCCCGAUGCCAUUAGGUUGAGGGCACGUCUGCCUGGGCGUCACAUAUCGAAGCCUCUCGCCAAUUUCCUAUAUUGAUAGGGGUAUUGUGCAGGGCGAAUGUUGGCCUCCCGUGAGCUUUAUUGCCUCAUGGUUGGUUGAAAAUCGAGACCUUGGUAGGGUGUGCCAUGAUAGGUGGUGGCUGUGUUACGCACGAGACCAAGUAAGUCAUGUGCUGCUCUAUUGAAUUUAGGCCUCUUUUACCCACAUGCGUUUCGAAACGCUCGUGAUGAGACCUCAGGUCAGGCGGGGCUACCCGCUGAAUUUAAGCAUAUCAAUAACCCGGAAGGAAA
rnacentral:rRNA from 1 species